UUUUAUGGAGAGUUUGAUCCUGGCUCAGGAUGAACGCUGGCGGCGUGCCUAAUACAUGCAAGUCGAGCGAACGGACGAGAAGCUUGCUUCUCUGAUGUUAGCGGCGGACGGGUGAGUAACACGUGGAUAACCUACCUAUAAGACUGGGAUAACUUCGGGAAACCGGAGCUAAUACCGGAUAAUAUUUUGAACCGCAUGGUUCAAAAGUGAAAGACGGUCUUGCUGUCACUUAUAGAUGGAUCCGCGCUGCAUUAGCUAGUUGGUAAGGUAACGGCUUACCAAGGCAACGAUGCAUAGCCGACCUGAGAGGGUGAUCGGCCACACUGGAACUGAGACACGGUCCAGACUCCUACGGGAGGCAGCAGUAGGGAAUCUUCCGCAAUGGGCGAAAGCCUGACGGAGCAACGCCGCGUGAGUGAUGAAGGUCUUCGGAUCGUAAAACUCUGUUAUUAGGGAAGAACAUAUGUGUAAGUAACUGUGCACAUCUUGACGGUACCUAAUCAGAAAGCCACGGCUAACUACGUGCCAGCAGCCGCGGUAAUACGUAGGUGGCAAGCGUUAUCCGGAAUUAUUGGGCGUAAAGCGCGCGUAGGCGGUUUUUUAAGUCUGAUGUGAAAGCCCACGGCUCAACCGUGGAGGGUCAUUGGAAACUGGAAAACUUGAGUGCAGAAGAGGAAAGUGGAAUUCCAUGUGUAGCGGUGAAAUGCGCAGAGAUAUGGAGGAACACCAGUGGCGAAGGCGACUUUCUGGUCUGUAACUGACGCUGAUGUGCGAAAGCGUGGGGAUCAAACAGGAUUAGAUACCCUGGUAGUCCACGCCGUAAACGAUGAGUGCUAAGUGUUAGGGGGUUUCCGCCCCUUAGUGCUGCAGCUAACGCAUUAAGCACUCCGCCUGGGGAGUACGACCGCAAGGUUGAAACUCAAAGGAAUUGACGGGGACCCGCACAAGCGGUGGAGCAUGUGGUUUAAUUCGAAGCAACGCGAAGAACCUUACCAAAUCUUGACAUCCUUUGACAACUCUAGAGAUAGAGCCUUCCCCUUCGGGGGACAAAGUGACAGGUGGUGCAUGGUU
rnacentral:rRNA from 1 species